rnacentral:misc_RNA from 1 species
GAUGAAGAACGCAGCGAAAUGCGAUAAGUAAUGUGAAUUGCAGAAUUCAGUGAAUCAUCGAAUCUUUGAACGCACCUUGCGCCCUUUGGCCAUUCCGAAGGGCAUGCCUGUUUGAGUAUCAUGAACACCUCAACUCUUCAUGGUUUUCCGUGAUGAGCUUGGACUUUGGGGGUCUUGCUGGCCUAUGGUCAGCUCCUCUAAAAUAAAUCAGCUUGCCAGUGUUUGGUGGGUAUCACAGGUGUGAUAACUAUCUACGCUUGUGGUUUUCCACCAGGUAACCUUCAGCAGUGGAGGUUCGCUGGAGCUCACAGAUGUGUCUCUCCUCAGUGAGGACAGCUCUUUGAAUGUUUGAUCUCAAAUCAGGUAGGACUACCCGCUGAACUUACGCAUAUCACUAAGCGGACGA